UUAUAAGAGACAGCAGCAGCCACGGUAAUACGAAGGGGGCUAGCGUUGUUCGGAUUUACUGGGCGUAAAGGGCGCGUAGGCGGACUGAUAAGUCAGGGGUGAAAUCCCAAGGCUCAACCUUGGAACUGCCUUUGAUACUGUUUGUCUUGAGUUCGAGAGAGGUAAGUGGAACUGCGAGUGUAGAGGUGAAAUUCGUAGAUAUUCGCAAGAACACCAGUGGCGAAGGCGGCUUACUGGCUCGAAACUGACGCUGAGGCGCGAAAGCGUGGGGAGCAAACAGGAUUAGAUACCCCUGUAGUCCCUGUCUCUUAUAU
rnacentral:rRNA from 1 species